GACGAACCGUGCGAACGUUGUUCGGAAUCACUGGGCUUAAAGGGCGCGUAGGCGGCCUUCUAAGUCGGACGUGAAAUCCCUCGGCUUAACCGAGGAACUGCGUCCGAGACUGAAAGGCUUGAAUCCGGGAGAGGGAUGUGGAAUUCCAGGUGUAGCGGUGAAAUGCGUAGAUAUCUGGAGGAACACCGGUGGCGAAGGCGGCAUCCUGGACCGGCAUUGACGCUGAGGCGCGAAAGCUAGGGGAGCAAACGGG
rnacentral:rRNA from 1 species